GAAGAACCCUCGCUGGGUAACCAACGAGGGACUCUUAGUGGCGAACGGGUGAGUAACACGUGAGAAACCUGCCCCGGAGACCGGGAUAGCCCAGGGAAACCUGGAUUAAUACCGGAUACCCUCGAAUGACCGCAUGGUCUACCGAGGAAAUGGUCCGCCGCUCCGGGAUGGUCUCGCGUCCUAUCAGCUUGUUGGUGAGGUAACGGCUCACCAAGGCAACGACGGGUAGCUGGUCUGAGAGGACGAUCAGCCACACUGGGACUGAGACACGGCCCAGACUCCUACGGGAGGCAGCAGCAGGGAAUAUUGCACAAUGGGCGCAAGCCUGAUGCAGCGACGCCGCGUGGGGGAUGAAUGCCUUCGGGUUGUAAACCCCUUUCAGGAGAGACGAAGCGAAAGUGACGGUACCUCCAGAAGAAGCCCCGGCCAACUACGUGCCAGCAGCCGCGGUAAUACGUAGGGGGCGAGCGUUGUCCGGAUUUAUUGGGCGUAAAGAGCUCGUAGGCGGCUCAACAAGUCGGCCGUGAAAGCCCGAGGCUCAACCUCGGGAUGCCGGUCGAAACUGUUGUGGCUAGGGUCCGGUAGAGGAGAGUGGAAUUCCCGGUGUAGCGGUGAAAUGCGCAGAUAUCGGGAGGAACACCAGUAGCGAAGGCGGCUCUCUGGGCCGGCACCGACGCUGAGGAGCGAAAGCUAGGGGAGCAAACAGGAUUAGAUACCCUGGUAGUCCUAGCCGUAAACGUUGGGUACUAGGUGUGGCGGAUUCAUUGACGUCUGCCGUGCCGAAGCUAACGCAUUAAGUAC
rnacentral:rRNA from 1 species